AUAACAUUCCAAUUUAUUUGACAGGUUUUUGUCCAGGAUUGUUAAAUUUUGUGUAUUUGGUCAAGUUAAAUUUUGGGAAAACGUAGAAUGAGUGGGACUGCAUACAAGCACUUAUAGAUUUGUUCAUUAUUAAUGAAUAUUUGCUUUGUGUAAUUCAUGGUUUUAUUAUUCAUUUCAGGGAUGAUUAUAAUGUAAACUGAUGAACUUUUCCAAUAUCAAGAUCAGCACACAGCUUUACAUUCAAAGAUUACCUGAUUUAUUUCUUAAUAAAAGACUUGCAAA